AGAGUUUGAUCAUGGCUCAGAUUGAACGCUGGCGGCAUGCCUAACACAUGCAAGUCGAACGGUAACAGGCCGCAAGGUGCUGACGAGUGGCGGACGGGUGAGUAAUACGUAGGUAUCUGCCCUGUAGUGGGGGAUAACCCGGGGAAACUCGGGCUAAUACCGCAUACGCUCUUUAUAUCGUUGAGAUAGGAGAGGAAAGCGAGGGACCGAAAGGCCUCGCGCUAGAGGAUGAGCCUACGCCCGAUUAGCUAGUUGGUAGGGUAAAAGCCUACCAAGGCGACGAUCGGUAGCUGGUCUGAGAGGAUGGCCAGCCACACUGGGACUGAGACACGGCCCAGACUCCUACGGGAGGCAGCAGUGGGGAAUAUUGGACAAUGGGGGAAACCCUGAUCCAGCGAUGCCGCGUGGGUGAAGAAGGCCUGCGGGUUGUAAAGCCCUUUCAGUGGGGAAGAAAAACGGGGUGUGAACAGCGCUUCGUUUUGACGCUACCCACAGAAGAAGCACCGGCUAACUCUGUGCCAGCAGCCGCGGUAAUACAGAGGGUGCGAGCGUUAAUCGGAAUUACUGGGCGUAAAGCGCGCGUAGGCGGCUUUGCAAGUCGGGUGUGAAAUCCCCAGGCUUAACCUGGGAACUGCAUUCGAGACUGCAUUGCUAGAGUAUGGGAGAGGGAAGUGGAAUUUCCGGUGUAGCGGUGAAAUGCGUAGAUAUCGGAAGGAACAUCAGUGGCGAAAGCGACUUCCUGGACCAAUACUGACGCUCAUGUGCGAAAGCGUGGGGAGCAAACAGGAUUAGAUACCCCCGUAGUCC
rnacentral:rRNA from 1 species